rnacentral:rRNA from 1 species
AUUGAACGCUGGCGGCAUGCUUUACACAUGCAAGUCGAACGGUAACAGGCCGCAAGGUGCUGACGAGUGGCGAACGGGUGAGUAAUGCAUCGGAACGUGCCCAGUCGUGGGGGAUAACGCAGCGAAAGCUGCGCUAAUACCGCAUACGAUCUAUGGACGAAAGCGGGGGACCGUAAGGCCUCGCGCGAUUGGAGCGGCCGAUGUCAGAUUAGGUAGUUGGUGGGGUAAAGGCUCACCAAGCCAACGAUCUGUAGCUGGUCUGAGAGGACGACCAACCAAACUGGGACUGAGACACGGCCCAGACUCCUAAGGGAGGCAGCAGUGGGGAAGUUUGGACAAUGGGCGCAAGCCUGAUUCAGCAAUGCCGCGUGCAGGAAGAAGGCCUUCGGGUUGUAAACUGCUUUUGUACGGAACGAAACGGUUCUGGUUAAUACCUGGGGCUAAUGACGGUACCGUAAGAAUAAGCACCGGCUAACUACGUGCCAGCAGCCGCCGUAAGAC